AAACAGUCUCAUCGUGACAGUGGUCGGAGGUAAAAUAGUUAUGAAUCAAUAAAAUGUAGAGGUUACAGAAGAUCUGUUAAUAAUGCAUCAAUUAAUACAGUUGUAAUCAAGUCUUCAUUCACUCCUCGGAAGAACAAAGAGAUCACAGUAGUGUCCAUUCGCUGAUAACAGUGAACACCUGAUUGUUUAGUUCAUGAAGAGUAAAAGGAGUCGGAGUGUUAAUUAAACAACGAUGACAUCAGUUCCCGUGGGGUUGACUAACGAAUCAAGAAUUUAAGUAGGUGAAUUAUAAUUUUUUUUCUCUGAUAAGUGAUUUAUGU